rnacentral:lncRNA from 1 species
AAAGAAUAUACUUGGUUUUUGUGUUUCCUGAAUUGUUAUAUAUUUUUCCAACUUUUUGUUAUUUUUUUUGCAGUGCUUUUAGCUAAAAAAUUAAAAUUAUUUCACUAGAAGCAGAGUAGAACAUAUUGGUGAAAAAAGAUUGAUUGAUUGAUAGAAUUUUGGUGUAUAAUGCCACUUUCAGCCCAAUUUGUAAUAUCUUGAUGGCCAUUUUUUAUGGGUUGAAAAAGUUAAAAGUAACAGUAGAUACCCACCAACUUUUCCCCCAGGGAACUGUCAAUUCUAGUCAAUUAAGCUUUGAGUCAAACACACCUACCACAGGUUGGGUUUGAAUUCUCAACCUCAUUUUGACAUGCUAGAGAUACAAUAAUACUUCUUAGACCACUGCCACUAAGGCCCUUAGGUAAAAGUUAAAGUACUAAAUUAGUUUUUGAAAUGUGUUGUAGUUUUUACAUACCGUAUUAUUUUUUCAUUUUAAUUAUACUAUAUUUUUGUAUUGUUGUUAAAUAUAGGAAGGAUGUGGAGUCUCGACAGGGUCAUAUUUUCAAGGCAAGGGGAGGUAAUUCCCUUGUUAUACUCCUCAUACUUUAAAUUUCCUAAGUGUUUAUAGGGAAUAUAACUUUUUUUAUUUAAAUAUUCACUUUUUUUACACAUUUUCUUUAAAUAUCAGAUGUAUACUAGCUAAAAUGACUAUUAUUUAGAGCUCUGUAAAUAAAAAAAAAAAAAUAUGUAAGCAGAGCUCUAUAUAUAGAUAAUAGAUUUGGAGGGUUUGAGAAAUAGUGGGUAACUACAAUUGAUGAGGGGAAAUUUUCAAAAAAAACUGAUUUUGUUAAAACUGUAAAGUGCAUCUGAUAUUUUUUUUUUAUACAUGUAUAAUGUUAUUUCUGAAAGCAAAUGGACAAUAAGAUAAUGAGGACAUGGACCUCCUUGGCAGUUAUGAUAGCAGCUCUAAGGAAGAUGGUCAAUUAUAUCUUCAACCAAGUCUGAGGCUUUACCAGGAAAAAUCUGUGGUGAGUUGAAAUGUUCCACAAAAUUUAUAAUAAUAUUAUUAUAGACUUUUUAAAACUUUUUAUUUAUUAAGGGUUUUUUGUGUGAUAUUGAAGAUAUCUGCAUCAUUUCAUAACAUUUUUUUAUAACUUGUAUUUAAUGAAAAUGUUUUUUACCUUAUGUAUCAAGUCAAUAUUUUGAAGAUAUUAUAUAACAAAUUCAUAAGAAAUGAUACAAGGCAUAAUUAUGUUUCUCUUCUUAAUUUUAUCUUUUAAACAUUUUUUUUUAUUUCAGGUUGUUGAAAUUACAAUGUUUUCCUGGUGUUGGGAGUAAGACAUGGAUAUCUGAUAUUGUUAACAUGUUGGUAGGUAUUAAAGCUUUUAUUUUUAAUAAUUUUAAUAGUAUUUGACAUCAAUAAAUUUUUUGAAGGUUUGAAAUACUAUACAAUAUGAUGAAAUACAAGUUUAUUUUUUUGCUAACUUAAUAAAAUUGAAAAUGUAAAUCGGGAAUGUGUUGGAGAGAUAAAAAAAAAAAACUUACAAAGGGCAAAAAACAUAACCAUUAGUUUGAUUUUGAAUACCAAUUAUUUUCUUGCAGAAUUUUGUUUGUUAUCUGAGAACUUUUAAACAAUUAUUAUGAUGUACAUAUUUUUUGAAAGUUGAGAAUAACUGACCUUGAACUUUGUUUUACAGGUUAGCAUCACAAGUUUCCUUGGGGUUACUUGCUUGGGGAGUUAUUAGAGCUGUUUUAAGGUGAGAAUUUAUUAAUCAACAAACAAUUUAAAUUUAUUUAUUAUACAUGUAUCUAAUUUUAAAUGCCCCUAGAUAUCUAUAUAUCUAUCCUAAAUAUAUGUCAAUGUAAAAUGUUGUAAUGUUGUACCUUUACUUUAGAAGUGUAUCUAUAUUUACUGAUUUGUCUCCCUUGCCCUGAACAAGAUUAGGCCCGAGACUACAAUUAAUUCCUCUAUCAGUUCUUUAUAACGUUUUGUCGCAUUAAAAAAAAUUUGCCUAUUCUUUUUGUCUAAAUUUUGGUGUGUGCAAUGUACAGUUCAAGUCCAAAAAUAUAUGCAAUUUUCAGAAAAAUUGCAUGUUUACAUCAUACAAAUUUGGCCAAUACACAUCCAUACCCCUAUAGGCAAGUCAAGAGAUGUUCCGAAAAGUGUAAAUACUACCUUUUUGCACCUGGCCGAAUCACUCUUUCCUUAUCAAAAUCAGUUAAAAUAAAACAUCCAAAAGUUUAUUUCAGCUCUCUUCUUUCAUUUCCACCCCAGAAAAACUAAGAAAUGUAUGAGAAAGGGAAAGAAAAAAAAUAAAGAAAAAAUACACUAUAAUUAAAGGGAACUAUAUUCAUGGACAACGAAAAGUGGGGUCAUUAAUUGUGGUCUUGGGCCAGAUGUGAAGGGGAGAUAAUCUGAUAUCAAGUAAAACCUAGCUAUCAUAAAAAAGAUGAUCAUGUAUGAUAACUGCUUUACAUUCAGUCAUUCAUAUUUUCAUUACAAAUUUCAAAAGAAUUUAUUCCUACUUUUUUAUCAUGGAGAAAAUUUUGUUUGGAUCUCAGUAAGGGUCAAUAAAACAACAAAUAACAAAAUAUUCAUUAAAUUUUACUUUUUAUUAAGUGAACUUACCAGCAGCUUCUGCAUUCACUGUGUUAAAUAUUUCCAAUAAUUGCUCAGGUAUUUGAUGUCAAGUCUCAUAAUUGUAAAGUUUGGAAAAUUUAUUUUUGUGUAUUGACAGAUUUCAGUAAAAUGAAGUAGCAAAAAUAAGAAGAGUUUUCACAUUCAUUGAUAUGUUUUUUUUUAAAUUGAAUUUUAUUAUAUACCCUUAAGAUUAUUUUUAUUAUACCCUUAAGAUUAUUUUGAUAAAAUAAUUGAAACUUAACUUUAUUUCUUUUCAGUUGAAAGUGUAACAGUUGCUGCCUUGUAUGGUAAAAUCCUCAGACAAUAAUCCUGCAAACAAUCGGAUGAACUGUUACUAUCUCUAUUGGAAC